rnacentral:rRNA from 1 species
GAUGAACGCUGGCGGCGUGCCUAAUACAUGCAAGUCGAGCGAACGGACGAGAAGCUUGCUUUUCUGAUGUUAGCGGCGGACGGGUGAGUAACACGUGGAUAACCUACCUCUAAGACUGGGAUAACUUCGGGAAACCGGAGCUAAUACCGGAUAAUAUUUUGAACCGCAUGGUUCAAAAGUGAAAGACGGUCUUGCUGUCACUUAUAGAUGGAUCCGCGCUGCAUUAGCUAGUUGGUAAGGUAACGGCUUACCAAGGCAACGAUGCAUAGCCGACCUGAGAGGGUGAUCGGCCACACUGGAACUGAGACACGGUCCAGACUCCUACGGGAGGCAGCAGUAGGGAAUCUUCCGCAAUGGGCGAAUGCCUGACGGAGCAACGCCGCGUGAGUGAUGAAGGUCUUCGGAUCGUAAAACUCUGUUAUUAGGGAAGAACAUAUGUGUAAGUAACUGUGCACAUCUUGACGGUACCUAAUCAGAAAGCCACGGCUAACUACGUG